GACAGAGGGUGCAAACGUUGUUCGGAAUUACUGGGCGUAAAGCGCGUGUAGGCGGCCCUGCAAGUCGGGUGUGAAAUCCCAUGGCUCAACCAUGGAAGUGCACUCGAAACUGCAGGGCUAGAGUCCUGGAGAGGAAGGUGGAAUGCUUGGUGUAGAGGUGAAAUUCGUAGAUAUCAGGAGGAACACCGGUGGCGAAGGCGGAUCUCUGGGCCUUACCUGACGCUGAGGCGCGAAAGCUAGGGGAGCAAACAGG
rnacentral:rRNA from 1 species